UGCAAUCUGUUGUUGCACUGCCGAGUUUAUCUGCGUGGGAUGGCAGGGACAGAAAUCCUGAGCCGUUCAAGCCUUUCAUUUCAGUUAGUGCAGGGAUGUAAUCCAGAACUGGCUGGGUGAGUGGUUUUGGCUUGGGUCGGGGUCAAUAUCUGGACUCAUGUACAUGACAGCAAGGCAAUCAGUUGAAAUCUCCAACUGGAAACCUGCAGAAAAUAAAGGUGCAGGAGGUGCUUAUGAUGCCGUGCGAAUGCCUGGCUGCCUCUGGAAAUGACCUGUGCUGAAUCAAGUGAGCCAGCUAACCCGAUUUCUUCCAGUGGGUCCCACUUUCCAUCCCAGAAGCUGGAGCAAUGCGUGGAGUAGAAGGACUCAGCCAACGGCCAUCCUGCUAGAGGCUCAGUGUUUGACUUUUAGCUGUUGCAGGGUGCCAUGCCAUGUUAACACUGGUAGGUGUGCUAACAUGAACUGCAAAACUAAACCAGAGAUUUCAAAUAGGAACCCAUAG